rnacentral:lncRNA from 1 species
CAAAGAGCCACGUCUCGCUUUAGAAGUCUGAGACUGGGGACUUUCUACAACAGCGUGAACCGCCAGUGUUCCAUCCUCUUGGCCACUGAGAGUGGCUCAAGGACGGACGAGUCAGAGCGGAUGAGACUCAAUUCUUCCCUGAACACUGUGGGAGACUAAAGUCAUGUUUCUGCUGGGGUUGCUGAGGUGUGAACCUGGAGCUGCCAGGAGCCAGGCCAGGAGGAGAGGCUGCCCACAUGGGGCCAACAGAGAGGAAGGCAGAGCCAAGCAUGGGGAGAGAGGCUGCCUGUCUCUGAGUGCUGGAUUUAGCCGUACCUGAAGCUAGACCUAGAUCUCGAGUUUUCAAAAGUUAUAAGCUAAACUCGGUUUGGGUCACGGCGUGCUGGGUGAUCCCCUGACGCUGCGUAAAUUGCACUGAGGCUGCCUGUGAGCAUGGAGACGUCACAGGCUGAAGCCAGCUGAAAUCGAUUGCCUCUUUAUCAUUUAUCUUUCCCUGAAAGGCAAAGAAAAAGAAACACAGCGUGUAUGAUUGUUCAAGUUUGGCAGAAAAGGAUACGUAAUUGAAAUGAAGAUCUUUGAUUUUUUGGAAACUUCAAAUGAAUAGCGUGAUCUGAACUUGCUUUUUUGUGCCUGCCCUUUUCCUUCACAUUACGAGCUCCAAACGUUAGCUCUCGUUUAACUUUUUGUUCCUUCCUAAGUACUGGCUCUAAUUCCUGGGUGGCCCCAUUGUCUCCUAAAGACAUUUGACUGUGAUACAUUCAAGGUCACUGACGAUGUUUUAAAUAUUUUCGUAGACAUUGCUUUGGUUCGGGCAAGAUUUGGAAUCCAUAAAUACAUUCUUUGAUGCACUCUCCUACUGUUUACAUAUUUCUAUUAAAAACAGCGAUUUUCCUUCUGCUUUAGAGCUAUGUUCACGCCCUUAUUUGCCUCAUAGUUUGCUGUCACAACACAAAAACUUGUUUGAAAGGAAGAAUAAUUCAUACCUGCGUCCUCAGUGGCCCCUGAAUGAGUGCUUUCCAUCAGUGGCUGUAUCGGCUCUUAGCGGAGAAAUCUGCUUUUAGCCAGAGGCACACAGUCCCUGCCGGACCUAUCACUGUGUGUGUAUUGUAGGAGAAACAAGGACCUUCAAACAUUCCCAUCUUCCCCAUCAGUGGUUCCCAUAAGCCGAAGUCACAAGGACCAGGCUUGUCUUGAGAGAAAGAUAAGGCAGGGUUUUGGCAAAGAAUGCAAAAUCACUUUUUCACCGAAGCCGGAACGUGCCUUACAGUGAGGAAUGGCGGCUCACUGCGUUGUGUAGUUGUGAGUGUGUAAUAAUAAAAGGAGCCCUACAGCAUCCGUCCGUAAGGCACUUUUUAAUUUAUUUUUUUUGUCCUGGAUGCACAAUCACCCACAGCAAGAGGCGUGCCAUUCUCACACGCGGGCCGACCUGCGCUCCUGGACGCGGUCGGGCGCGUCUCGAGGACCCGCCUGUGGCUGUGACGAUGGAGGCACCGCCACGUGCAGCCGGCCUCUGCCUCUCGACGGGGAGGGGGCGGGUGGGGGCCGGCGGGGGCGGCGCAGGGUCUCCCCUGCGAGGCCAGGCGGAGGUUCGCGGCUCCAGGUGCCCGCUCUGCUCCUCCCAGAAGCUGGACUCACAGGAAACGGAGGCCCGGCCGCCCCGCGAGCCCUCUAUUUACAGCCAGGGCUUGUGAAGGAGGCAGCGCUGAGAAGGCAGCCUUGGGAGGUCCAAGGCGUCUGGAAGAUGCGUCAGGACGCGCCCCCUGCGCCUCCUCCCCGGGGUUUGGGGUCGCGAGGAUGCUGCCGCCUGGGGCCCCUCCUGGUUACCGCCGUGAACCUGCCGGGCGCGGGGCCUCCUGCAGCCUCCGCGUCUGGCCCGUCUGUCCUCAGGCCGAGGCUGGGCCGUAGUGACCGGCUGGCGGUCCCUGCGCGUCCGGCCCUGCUCCGACGGCCCGAGGCGCGCCCGGCUGCUGGGCAGUCGGAGCCUCGCAGGCUCUGGGAUCCGGGGCCUUCUCGACAAAGCCGCACGAGACCCGUGGCCCCUACUCAGAAAGCGGAGCCACCAAACGCCUGGUCACUCGUGCCAGUGACCCCCCCCCUCCACGGGCAUCCUGGGGUCCCCCUCUUCUCCAGCCUACCUCGAAGACGCUAAAUUCGAAACAGGCCUCCAGUCUGUCCAUCUGUCCGCCCCCAUCCCCUGCUCUCGCGAGCGGGCAGCUCAGUCCUUGCUCGGGUCACUGUGACAGCCCUGUGGGUUCUCCUGCCGACUGUCGUCUCCCCGCCUCGAAGUUUACUCUCCACACCCACCCUGAGGGAGAGGGAGCUCCAGAAAGUCAAAUGAGCUCCUGUGGCCCUGAGUGUUUCAGUGGCUUCCCACUGCACCUGGGAGAAAGUGACCCCCAGCCCCCAUCACAUGGCGCAAGGCUCCCGGGAUUCCUGCAGUUUCCCCCAAAUUCUAUCCCACCAUUGUGCCAUGCCAUUCCAGACACUCUGGUCCCCCAGCUCUAUCUCCAAUACCCUGAGUUGUCCAGCCCCAGGGCCUUUGCACAUGCUGCUCCCCCUCCUUCUGGAAUGCUCUCCCCUCAGCUCUCCCCAUGACCCGCUGAAAGGAGCUCAACACAAGGUUGACAUAAUGGAAGCCAUAUUGUAGAAGAGAGACCAUGUUGUAACUUUGAAUGACCUCUGACUAACUAACCCAGCUGGAUUUGCACCCUCCAGGAGAUCCACCUGUGCUGUAGACGUUAUGACCCCUGCUAGAGCCUAUACCUUGCAGCUGCAAUAAGAUGAUAACUUUGUUCUUUUGAGUUCCUUUGGAAUGUGAUGACCCCCAAACAGACAGUCUAUGCUGAUAGCCAUCAUCAAUGAAACUGAAAGACCUGGAGUGGCGACUUGCAGUCUGUAACAACUGAGGGUCAACAUUCCUAACCCCUCCCCUAUAACCCACUGCCCUAUAUAACUGCGUCAAGAUUCUGUGCCCCCCUUACGAUGGGUCUUUUGGACAUUAGUCGGCCAUCUGCCCUCUUGCUAGCGAGCUGUAAUAAAAUGCCCUUUCUCUGCACCAUCUCACCUCUUGACGACUGGCUUUUGUCUCGGGGAGAGCAGAUUGUGCUCUUUGUGCGGUCAUACUGCCCCUCAUGUCCUUCCAUGCUCUGCUCAGGUGUCACCUGCUCAGAGGACAGCCCUGACCACCCGUCUAAAGAAGCUCUCGGCACCCACGUCGUGUCCCUAUGUCCUGCACAGAACUUGUCCCCAUGUGAAAUUGAUGUACUCAUUUUAUACCCUUCUGUUGUCAUUUCCACCCACAG